rnacentral:rRNA from 1 species
GUGGACGCCAGUCUGCAUGGAGCCGACCUUGAAAUACCACCCUUUAAUGUUUGAUGUUCUAACGUGGACCCGUGAUCCGGGUUGCGGACAGUGUCUGGUGGGUAGUUUGACUGGGGCGGUCUCCUCCUAAAGAGUAACGGAGGAGCACGAAGGUUGGCUAAUCCUGGUCGGACAUCAGGAGGUUAGUGCAAUGGCAUAAGCCAGCUUGACUGCGAGCGUGACGGCGCGAGCAGGUGCGAAAGCAGGUCAUAGUGAUCCGGUGGUUCUGAAUGGAAGGGCCAUCGCUCAACGGAUAAAAGGUACUCCGGGGAUAACAGGCUGAUACCGCCCAAGAGUUCAUAUCGACGGCGGUGUUUGGCACCUCGAUGUCGGCUCAUCACAUCCUGGGGCUGAAGUAGGUCCCAAGGGUAUGGCUGUUCGCCAUUUAAAGUGGUACGCGAGCUGGGUUUAGAACGUCGUGAGACAGUUCGGUCCCUAUCUGCCGUGGGCGCUGGAGAACUGAGGGGGGCUGCUCCUAGUACGAGAGGACCGGAGUGGACGCAUCACUGGUGUUCGGGUUGUCAUGCCAAUGGCACUGCCCGGUAGCUAAAUGCGGAAGAGAUAAGUGCUGAAAGCAUCUAAGCACGAAACUUGCCCCGAGAUGAGUUCUCCCUGAGACUUAAAGUCUCCUGAAGGAACGUUG